rnacentral:rRNA from 1 species
AUGGUGAAGCCGCGAAUGGCUCAUUACAACAGCUGUUGUUUCUUGGAUCUUAAUUUACUUGGAUAACUGUGGUAAUUCUAGAGCUAAUACAUGCAACAAAGCUCUGACCACUGGAAAGAGCGCAUUUAUUAGACCAAGACCAAUCAGGCUUGCCUGAAAUCUGGUGACUCUGAAUAACUUUGCUGAUCACAUGGUCCUAGUACCGGUGACAUAUCUUUCAAGUGUCUGCCCUAUCAACUUUCGAUGGUAGUUUAUGUGCCUACCAUGGUUGUAACGGGUAACGGAGAAUAAGGGUUCGACUCCGGAGAGGGAGCCUGAGAGAUGGCUACCACAUCCAAGGAAGGCAGCAGGCGCGCAAAUUACCCAAUCUCUGCUCGAGGAGGUAGUGACGAAAAAUAACGAGAUGGUUCUCUAUGAGGCCCAUCAUCGGAAUGGGUACAAUUUAAACCCUUUAACGAGGAUCUAGUGGAGGGCAAGUCUGGUGCCAGCAGCCGCGGUAAUUCCAGCUCCAUUAGCAUAUACCAAUUCUGUUGC